rnacentral:rRNA from 1 species
AUGAACGCUGGCGGCGUGCCUAAUACAUGCAAGUCGAGCGAACAGACGAGGAGCUUGCUCCUCUGACGUUAGCGGCGGACGGGUGAGUAACACGUGGAUAACCUACCUAUAAGACUGGGAUAACUUCGGGAAACCGGAGCUAAUACCGGAUAAUAUAUUGAACCGCAUGGUUCAAUAGUGAAAGACGGUUUUGCUGUCACUUAUAGCUGGAUCCGCGCCGCAUUAGCUAGUUGGUAAGGUAACGGCUUACCAAGGCAACGAUGCGUAGCCGACCUGAGAGGGUGAUCAGCCACACUGGAACUGAGACACGGUCCAGACUCCUACGGGAGGCAGCAGUAGGGAAUCUUCCGCAAUGGGCGAAAGCCUGACGGAGCAACGCCGCGUGAGUGAUGAAGGUCUUCGGAUCGUAAAACUCUGUUAUUAGGGAAGAACAAAUGUGUAAGUAACUAUGCACGUCUUGACGGUACCUAAUCAGAAAGCCACGGCUAACUACGUG